UACGUAUGGUGCAAGCGUUAUCCGGAUUUACUGGGUGUAAAGGGAGCGUAGGCGGCGCGUUAAGUCUGAUGUGAAAACCCGAGGCUCAACCACGGGAGUGCAUUGGAAACUGGCGAGCUGGAGUGCCGGAGAGGUAAGCGGAAUUCCUAGUGUAGCGGUGAAAUGCGUAGAUAUCAGGAGGAACAUCGGUGGCGUAAGCGCUUUACUGGGCCGUAAUUGACGCUGAGGAACGAAAGCCAGGGUAGCAAAUGGG
rnacentral:rRNA from 1 species